AUUGAACGCUGGCGGAAUGCUUUACACAUGCAAGUCGAACGGCAGCACGGGGGCAACCCUGGUGGCGAGUGGCGAACGGGUGAGUAAUACAUCGGAACGUGCCCAGUCGUGGGGGAUAACGUAGCGAAAGCUACGCUAAUACCGCAUACGAUCUACGGAUGAAAGCGGGGGAUCGCAAGACCUCGCGCGAUUGGAGCGGCCGAUGGCAGAUUAGGUAGUUGGUGGGGUAAAGGCUCACCAAGCCUUCGAUCUGUAGCUGGUCUGAGAGGACGACCAGCCACACUGGGACUGAGACACGUUUCAGACUCCUACGGGAGGCAGCAGUGGGGAAUUUUGGACAAUGGGCGAAAGCCUGAUCCAGCCAUUCCGCGUGCAGGAUGAAGGCCCUCGGGUUGUAAACUGCUUUUGUACGGAACGAAACGGCCUUUUCUAAUACAGAGGGCUAAUGACGGUACCGUAAGAAUAAGCACCGGCUAACUACGUGCCAGCAGCCGCGGUAAUGUAUCG
rnacentral:rRNA from 1 species